UAGAAGAGUGUGAUUUAAAGAAGUGUUUCUCUGUAGCUACUGCAAAUACCAUAAAAAAUUGUUAUCAGUUGCAAAGAUAGUUUAGUGUGUGCAUGGGGGGAAACUUCCUAAGUGUGGGAAAUGAGUGGGACAAGCUGCAAAAAGAACUCACGGAGUCGGCUUCACUGGAAUUGUUUUAAAUUACCACUUUAACACCUAUGGGAUUGCCAAAGCUCCCUUCUGCAUGCAUACAGUGGGAUUACAUGAUGCUCAGGGGCUGUAUAGGGACUAUGUUCCCUUUAUGCCUCAGAACCCUGACCGCAGACAGUCAUCAAGCAUACAUCUGUCAGAAGUUAUUGGAGGAAAAUAGUGGCAGAAGGAAACUAAAAACACCUACAUCUCUUUGAUUUUUCCAUGCAGACCUCUGAGUCUGAGAAGAUUUAUGCAACUAAACCUAGUUCUUUGCAAUUCUACUGCAUUAGAGUAUUAUAUUAUCUUCCUGUUCUCUAAAACACCUCACUCAUGUUCAUGAAACUCUCCUCCAAGAGAAAAGCACAGAACAGCUCGAUUUGCUCUUAAAGCACAAACAUGCUUUAUGAGCAGUGGAUGCACAUUGGCUGAUGAAGAAUCCCAACUGUCUGGGUAUAUGGGAUAAUUGUUCCACUUGGGACUCAUUAGCUAAUUGUUAAAAGAUUCUAAUGAAAAGCAUUUCAUAAA